rnacentral:rRNA from 1 species
GAAUCUCUGUUGCUUGCAACAGCGAAUUGUAGUCUCGAGAAGUGUUUUCAAGGCGGAUGCACUGCGCCAAAGUUGUUUGGAACGACACAUCGUAGAGGGUGACAAUCCCGUACGUGGCACAGUGUACCGUUCACGAUGCACUUUCUAUGAGUCGGGUUGCUUGGGAAUGCAGCCCAAAAUGGGAGGUAAACUCCUUCUAAAGCUAAAUAUGGGCACGAGACCGAUAGCGAACAAGUACCGUGAGGGAAAGAUGAAAAGCACUUUGAAAAGAAAGUUAAUAGUACGUGAAACCGUUAGGAGGGAAGCGCAUGGAAUUAGCAAUGCGUCGUCGAGAUUCAGGCUGAUUGUCGGAGAUACUGGUAUUGUACGGAUCUGAAUGGACUGUCGGUGCUAGUCGUCUUUGGUAGCUAGUCGCAUUUCCCGGCGAUGCGCGUCAACGAGUGUUGGUACCGAGCGACACGCUCUGCGAGAAGGUAGCCGUCUUCGGAUGGUGUUAUAGCUCGUGGACGCCAGUUCGGGAUCGACAGAGGAGUCGCGGCACAUGCCUUUUUUGGCUGGCCUCCCUGCUUCCAGUUGGUUGUCGAGCAUACCGGACAGCGUGCUGUGCGGUUGAACUGCUGCUAGCUGUUAAGUGGGAGAGUGCACACACUGUGCUAAGGUCGUUGGCGGUCAUAUGGUUUCAUGCGGCCCGACCGA